AGGCUGCGCAGCUGCGUCUGCGGGCGGGGAGCCGGGGCGGCCGUGGGCUUCCUCCGGGCGCGGGCUGACGGCUGCCGCCUGUGGGCGCCCCAGCCCUGCAGCCGAGCGGGAGGGGCGGACCAGCGGGUGUCGGGAGCAGGCUGCAGCGGCCAGGCCUCUGCGGCUUCUCGGAGUACUGGGUCCACUGGAGAGCGAAGAGCCGCGGCCGCCAGGAUUCCCAGCAGCGGCCGCGUGUUGAGAGCCUAGAAGUGGCCCCGAAGCCGUGCCUUUCCCGAUAGCCAAGCAGAAGUAGGACUUGAAGCACCGAGGCUGGGAUGCCCAUGCUGGUGACGCCUUGGGGCUCGCAGUUAUACUUGGUGACCGGUCUACACGGCGAUUCGGUGCUUUCCGGAGUAGCAGAUUCAUCUAUCUUUAGACCCACCUUCGUCCUUCGGCGGUUUAGCACGGCCUGCGCUUUCCUGCGAGCCCUGCUGUCACCCGAACAGCCUGAUGACUUCACGCUCAACCACUGGAGGGCACAACCACAUCAUUUUUAAAAAAUAGAUUCCUCCACUUAAAGGACAUGGUUUUGGGGGAAAGAACAUUUAAAAAAUGUAAAAAGAUAUAUAUCUAUAUCUAUAUAUCUAUCUCAGAUUGUUCUGAUAUAAACUCAGGUGGGAUUCUUCAAAACAGGAGGCUGUUCCAGUCUCUUCAUUUUGCAGCUGAGAAAACGAAGGCCUUGGAGCUUGAGAACUCCAGUUGCCCAAGGCACACAGGUGGUGGGUAAGGAAGCUGAUCAUGUCUCCAAAGAAUCCUUCCAUGACCCAGGAGGAUCCGGUGGGAGAGCAGGGCCGUCCACAGCUCAGCUAGGACACAAGAAGGCCCGGGGUGGCAGGAGCCCCACUGUGUGCUGCGGAGGAUGGCAGAGGAAGUCAGCAUUGUCCCGAAACUGCAGGAUCAUGUGAUGUGAUGGGAAAAAAUUAUGAGUACAAGACACAGGAAGAGCAGGUCACGGAAACACAUGGUGCCCAGAAGGGCUUAAUUAGUAGCAGCUGUGCGGGGUGAUGCACAGAGUGCCCCAAGGGUGUCCUGAGUGAGGGUGGAUGUCCCCUGCCCUCUGGCUUCGUGAAGGCUUCGUGAAGCCUGCCGGGUCACCCUUGUUUUCAUGGAUAGCUUCUUUAGGACACUCUCUCCACCAGUAAUUGACAAAGUCUGCUUCUGUUGAGUGUCUGAUAAAGGAUUGAGUUUACAUGAUUGUUAAGAUAGGAUCAUGAAAGAAGACAGAAGACGGAUGUGAGUGGCCCUCAGAAAAAAAGCAUCAAAGGAAACUGAGGAGUCUGUGUUCCGAGUUAUAACAUCAGUCCUGUGUAUUAAUGUAGUAAAUAAAGAAGACUAAAAACUUCAGAGACUGAAAGCUGCUGAGAAUGUGUAAGAGAAACCUGGUUGUCAAACGCAAUCCUGAUCUUUUAUCAGGCAUCUGUAUCAAUGUGGAUGAUCUAACCGUGGUUAACUUCAUGAAGAAGGAAGAUAUUUGAUUUUCAUCUGUUUAAAGAAACAAUCUGUUUCUUCUAAAAGUAUAUACUCUAAAACACAAACCACUUGGCUGGGAAAUAAAAGAUGGUUAUGCUUUAUCAUUUAUAUAAGCCUGGCCUUUCUCCAAAAUGAUUUUGAUAUAGCUUACAACAAAAAACGUGUUAGGCUUAAUAAAAGAAGAAUGGAAAUGGAAACUAAGGAUCAACAGAAAAGAGUAUCACAAAUACGGUAAUACUAGCAUAUGGUAAUAUUAUUUCUGUAUUUGAGUGUAAAACGUGGCUGUGAGCUUCCUGGAGGCCAAGGCAAAAAUAGAGACAAGAGCAACGUGCAUAAUAUCAUUAGCAGACAGAAAGAUCAUGUGACUUUUUAAUUUUUUUCCCGGAAACUGAAUCUAAAAAGAAUCGCUCUAUAUAAUGACUCAUAUAUAUGGUUUUAAGUGAAAAAAUGAUGAACACUGUCCUCCAUGAGAGUUUUGGCACAAAUUGAAGGAGGUAAGAACUGAUAUUGAAGCACAACUCAGUGAAGUUAAUCCUGUCAGGCUAGGUUCACACAAGAAAACUUCUGACAAAAUCCUAGAAUUCCGGCAAAUGCAGGCAUGGAAUGAGAGAUUCCUAUUCCAUCUGCCUCGUUGUGCCUGGGGCCAGGCCUGAGUGUUGAAGACAGCUUGUUCCAAUGUAAGAUCAAAUGAGAUUGUUCAUAACAGGAGUCUGCAGGAAUAUGGCACCUCUGAUUUGAAAUGAUGGAUGAUUUUCAUCAGCCGUGUAUCUGCUUCCUUGGCAGCACCCCAAGUGCAGACCCCAGGCUGUUUCAGUGUGUCAUCUGGCAGGCCCAAACAGAGGAUGUCUCAAUUGUGCAUGUGUAACACAGCUUUAAUUCAUAAUUUCAUUUCUGGAUGGAAUUUUGAGCAGAUGGGCAUUGCUGUCCUUUUUAAUGGUAAAAAAUCAAUGAAAGACACCGUGGUUUUGAAAUUAAUGAGCACUUGAAAAAUACCAGCUUUGUUUGGCUUUGCGUUUUCUUUUUUCCUCUCCUCCUAAGUUGUUUGCAGCAAAAUAUUCAAUUGAAAACUCAACAUGUCCACUGCCUCCCAAAAAAAAAAAAAAAUUCUGUGGAAAGUCUCCACUAACAGGAAGAGAGAAGUUCUUCACAGUUUGGUUUUAUUUUUCAAUGAUAGUCAUUGCCUCAUUUUUAAAGCAUUUAUAAUAAAUUAAGCAAGUAACACUUGUGUACCAGUUUCUAAUCAGUUUCUAAUGUGCCUGGAACUUGCUGGGCUACAAAGAAAAGGAUCAACUAUUUUUUUUCCUGCACCCAAAGAUAUUGCAAUCUUAUCGGAGAAGGGAAACUGAGGCAUGUGUUACAGUUAGAGGACUAGGAAGCACUAAUCUGUGUCAGACUCCAAAGUGCAAAUUCAAAGGAAAGACCAUUGUUGGAGGGAGUGAUCCGGAAGAAUUCCUAGCCCUUACCUGUCUCAGUCAUGCUUCUUGCCAAAGAAAAAGAGAAAUCUCCAAGUAUCUUAAUGCUUUCAGCGCUUCUCCAAUCUGACAAAUAUUUAUUCAGAUUCGAACUGACUGCCCAAGCUUCACUGCAGCUCCUCGUUUCCUGUUAGAUCUUUUUAAAAAUCUUUGCUUAAAACAUUGAAGGCUGAACGAUGAGCAAGAAAAUCUUGCCUGUGAAUAAGACACUGGGAACUGCACAGAAUCAACAUCAGCUCACAAGCUCAUCAUCUCACGCACGGAUUCCUGAGCACAUUCUCGCAUUCUUGCUCUUAAUCCUCCCUUGGCGACCUUCUACUCAGACAUCAUCUUUUAUGCAGAGAAGCAGGCACGUUUCUCAUCAUUAAUUCUGUUCUCAGCCAGGUGUGUAGCCACAGAGCAUACAGACCACAGGAUGAUUGAAAGCAUAUUGACUUUCCUGACUUCUUAUGACCACAUUUGAGGAAAGGAGUAAGCACUGGAAUCACCAACACAGCAUGCUUACGGAGGGUGGUCACCAGCUUCAUCAGCCUCCCAAUUCCACGGAGCCCCUUGAAAAUCCAGGAGCGCAGACUGGCAACAGUAGAGAUUUAAUAGGAGUUUACUGGAGGUUAUACUCCAGUCAAAGAAGAUGGAAACCAAGAAAGGACACAUUUUGGAGAUUAGCACUGGCUCCAGGAACCCAGUGAACAGAAGACUCAGGCUGAAGGCUUGUGCAUUCAGCCCAGAGAAAAUCCACUUAAAUUCAGAACAAUUAAGGACUCUGGGGAAGAAGGACUUCACAUGGUAGUGUGAUUGGAAGGCAGAUAAAUUUUAGGACACAAUGGAAGUUCCUAAGAUUUUUUAUCCUUUUCCAAUAGGAAGGAUAAAAAAAUCAUCUAAAACUAGAGGAAAAAUCAUCUAAAACAAGGUAUAAAGAAAUGGCUCACGUGUGACCCUUAUUUUACUGUGACAUGGAGCAUUUGAUGAAGGAUGUGGGAAGGGAGCCUGCUUAACUAUGAAGUGAGUAGCAUCGCCCCAGGAGCACCAUGACAGAUGCACAGGACAUGGAGGGAAGGAAAUGGCAUCCUGGCACAGCCCUGGCUCUACAUUGAGCAAUGUAGACAAAAUCAUAAAGGCUGCUCUAGUUUUCUACUUUUAGAAUCAACCUACAGACAUGUAAGACUUAAUUGUAGUUGUAGAAUAAAAGAUAAAAGAUUAUUGGCUUUCAUAACAAUAAAGUCCUAACAAUGAUUCACAGUUAUUCCAUGAAUAAGGGUAGGGGAAAAGAGGGAGGAAUGUAAGGCAUUUUAUAUGGAGCAAGGGAGGCAAAAGACGUUGACAGAGGCUUAUGGAACAACACACACACGCACACAAAUAGAAGGAAUAUAUUGCUUAAAAUGACAAAAAUAGCCAACAUAGGCUGGGUGCGGUGGCUCAUGCCUGUAAUCCCAGCACUUUGGGAGGCUGAGGCGGACGGAUCACUUGAAGCCAGGAGUUCAAGACCAGCCUGGCCAACAUGGUGAAACCCCGUCUCUACUAAAAAUACAAAAAUUGACUGGGCGCAGUGGUGUGCAUCUGUAGUUCCAACUACUUGGGAGGCUGAGGCAGGAGAAUCACUUGAAUCCGGGAGGCGGAGGUUGCAGUGAGCCGAGAUCACGCCACUGCAUCCUAGCCUGGGUGACAGAGUGAGACCGUCUGAAAAAGAAAAAAGCCAACAUAGGAAUUUUUAAAAUAAUAUAUAAUUACCAAAAAUUGGGGAAAAUAGAGACAGGGAAGGCAGUUCUAUAAGCGAGAUAAAUCUUUAUCUUUUGUAUCAGAAAGUCAAUAAAUAUUGUCUGAAUUUGAUUGGUUAUUUCCAUUUUUAUGAAAUGUCUACAAUAGGCAAAUCUAUAGAACCAGUAAAGAAAUUAGGAAUUCCUGUGGCUGGGACUGAAGAGUGAAAUCACUGCAAGUGGUCAAGAGGGAUCUUCUGAAGUGAUAGGUGUGUUCUAAAAUUGGGCUGUGGGGAUGCUUGCACAACUCUGUAACUUUGCUAAAAUUCAUUUCAUUACACAUUUAGUGAGUUUUAUGAUAUGUACAUUACCCAUCAAUAAAGCUGUGUUAAAAAAAAGGCUGAUUUUUUAGGCUGGGCGCAGUGGCUCACGCCUGCAAUCCCAGCACUUUGGGAGGCCAAGGCGGGGGGAUCACAAGGUCAGGAGAUCAAGACCAUCCUGGCUAACAUGGUGAAACCCCGU
rnacentral:lncRNA from 1 species